rnacentral:rRNA from 1 species
AAUCAUCAUGCCCCUUAUGAUUUGGGCGACACACGUGCUACAAUAACGGAUAGGCAGAUGGAAUUGUUGGUGUACGGGUAAAAUCCGUACAAAUCACCAGGAAUACCCAUUGCGAAGGCGAUCUGCUGGAACUCAACUGACCCUUUGCGUGAAAGCGUGGGGAGCAAACAGGAUUACAUACCCUGGUAGUCCACGCCCUAAACGAUGUAUACUAGUUGUUGCUAAGCUAGUCUUGGCAGUAAUGCACCUAACGGAUUAAGUAUACCGCCUGGGGAGUACGGUCGCAUGAUUAAAACUCAAAGGAAUAGACGGGGACCCGCACAAGCGGUGGAGCAUGUGGUUUAAUUCGAAGAUACGCGAAGAACCUUACCCGGACUUGAUAUCUAACAAAUCAUCUAGAGAUAGAAGAGUGUCUGCUUGCAGAAAUGUUAAGACAGGUGCUGCACGGCUGUCGUCAGCUCGUGUCGUGAGAUGUUGGGUUAAGUCCCGCUACGAGCGCAACCCACGUCAUUAGUUGCUAACAGUUCGGCUGAGCACUCUAAUGA